rnacentral:rRNA from 1 species
UGAGGAAUAUUGCGCAAUGGGGGCAACCCUGACGCAGCGACGCCGCGUGGAUGAUGAAGGCCUUCGGGUUGUAAAAUCCUGUCAGAUGGGAAGAAGUGCUAUAUGGUUAAUAUCUGUAUAGUUUGACGGUACCAUCAAAGGAAGCACCGGCUAACUCCGUGCCAGCAGCCGCGGUAAUACGGAGGGUGCAAGCGUUGUUCGGAAUUACUGGGCGUAAAGCGCGCGUAGGCGGCUAUGUAAGUCAGAUGUGAAAGCCCGCGGCUCAACCGUGGAAGUGCAUUUGAAACUGUAUAGCUUGAGUACUGGAGGGGGUAGUGGAAUUCCCGGUGUAGAGGUGAAAUUCGUAGAUAUCGGGAGGAAUACCGGUGGCGAAGGCGACUACCUGGCCAGAUACUGACGCUGAGGUGCGAAAGCGUGGGGAGCAAACA